UACGUAGGGUCCGAGCGUUGUCCGGAAUUACUGGGCGUAAAGAGCUCGUAGGUGGUUUGUCGCGUUGUUCGUGAAAACUCACAGCUCAACUGUGGGCGUGCGGGCGAUACGGGCAGACUGGAGUACUGCAGGGGAGACUGGAAUUCCUGGUGUAGCGGUGGAAUGCGCAGAUAUCAGGAGGAACACCGGUGGCGAAGGCGGGGUCUCUGGGCAGUAACUGACGCUGGAGGAGCGAAAGCAUGGGGAGCGAACAGG
rnacentral:rRNA from 1 species